AUUGAACGCUGGCGGCAGGCUUAACACAUGCAAGUCGAGCGGGGUGAUGGUGCUUGCACUAUCACUUAGCGGCGGACGGGUGAGUAAUGCUUAGGAAUCUGCCUAUUAGUGGGGGACAACAUCUCGAAAGGGAUGCUAAUACCGCAUACGUCCUACGAGAGAAAGCGGGGAUCACUUGUGACCUUGCGCUAAUAGAUGAGCCUAGGUCGGAGUAGCUAGUUGGUGGGGUAAAGGCCUACCAAGGCGACGAUCUGUAGCGGGUCUGAGAGGAUGAUCCGCCACACUGGGACUGAGACACGGCCCAGACUCCUACGGGAGGCAGCAGUGGGGAAUAUUGGACAAUGGGGGGAACCCUGAUCCAGCCAUGCCGCGUGUGUGAAGAAGGCCUUAUGGUUGUAAAGCACUUUAAGCGAGGAGGAGGCUCUUUUGGUUAAUACCCAAGAUGAGUGGACGUUACUCGCAGAAUAAGCACCGGCUAACUCUGUGCCAGCCGCCGCCGUAA
rnacentral:rRNA from 1 species